rnacentral:rRNA from 1 species
CCUACGGGAGGCAGCAGUGAGGAAUAUUGGUCAAUGGCCGUAAGGCUGAACCAGCCAAGUCGCGUGAGGGAUUAAGGCCCUGCGGGUCGUAAACCUCUUUUGCCGGGGAGCAGAGGUCCGGACGUGUCCGGGCCGGGAGAGUACCCGGAGAAAAAGCAGCGGCUAACGCCGUGACAGCAGCCGCGGUAAUACGGAGGAUGCGAGUGUUAUCCGGAUUUAUUGGGUUUAAAGGGUGCGUAGGCGGCCUUUUAAGUCAGCGGUGAAAGUCUGUGGCUCAACCAUAGAAUUGCCGUUGAAACUGGGAGGCUUGAGUAUGUUUGAGGCAGGCGGAAUGCGUGGUGUAGCGGUGAAAUGCUUAGAUAUCACGCAGAACCCCGAUUGCGAAGGCAGCCUGCCAAGCCAUGACUGACGCUGAUGAACGAAAGCGUGGGGAUCAAACAGGAUUAGAUACCCUUAGUC